GACGAACGCUGGCGGCGUGCUUAACACAUGCAAGUCGAACGAGGUCCACCGCGUAGCAAUACAAGGGAAGACCUAGUGGCGAACGGGUGCGUAACACGUGAGGAACUUGUCCCGGUCUCUGGGAUAACAGUUGGAAACGACUGCUAAUACCGGAUGACGUCGGAAUCUCGCAUGGGAUACUGACGAAAGGGUUACUGGAUCGGGAGAGCCUCGCGGCCUAUCAGCUUGUUGGUGAGGUAACGGCUCACCAAGGCAUCGACGGGUAGCUGGUCUGAGAGGAUGAUCAGCCACACUGGGACUGAGACACGGCCCAGACUCCUACGGGAGGCAGCAGUGGGGAAUCUUGCGCAAUGGGCGAAAGCCUGACGCAGCAACGCCGCGUGCGGGAAGAAGGCCCUCGGGUUGUAAACCGCUUUCAGCAGGACGAAAAUGACGGUACUUGCAGAAGAAGGUGCGGCCAACUACGUGCCAGCAGCCGCGGUAAAGUCUGUACU
rnacentral:rRNA from 1 species